GAAAAGUAGAUAUUUGUUAACACAAUAACCUACUACAGCUUAAUUUCUUCGCGUCUACACGCAUAGAAAACCAAAAGGAAACUUGCGGUUUCGUUUUUUCUCAAAGCACGUUAAUUUGAAUAUCGCUAGGGUUUUCGUUUUUAUACGGAAUAAAUUAUUCAAAAAAACGAAUUUUUCUACCUGGAUGUCCGGCGACCGAUUCUUUUUUUCAUUGGAGCACCACUUUUCGUUCGUGUUCCAGGCCUCCGCGCACACAAACAUGGAGGCAUGUGGGACGAUCAAGAUUUAAGGACUUGACACGAACCACCGUGAAAAAAAAAAGAAAAGAAUACACGCAACGGUUGAAAGUUGAAAAACAAGUCCAUGGAAGAAGAUAAACUUCUACUUGGAAAAAGAAUAUGUCUCGUGAAUCGUCUUACUUCGACGUGUCUUUGAAUUCGUGGCAAUAUUGAAUUUUAAUUGAAGAACAUUGCCGGAAAGCAAGAAGUGGUUCGAUUAAAACUGGUAGAAUGUCAUAUUAGGAAUAACACGGGUUCAAAGGCAAAAAGAAUGUAAAAUAUACCUUCCAGCAUUUUCUUAUCUGAAUAACCACGAUCGAACAAGGAAAAUGUAAUCACGAUGGAGAGUCAUUAGACGAUGAGAAAUUUUCGAAAGUUUCAAUGGAAUCGUGCUCAAGCAGGAGACUUAUCAAAGGGGGAGACCUAUGGCGGCUGUCUGAUUCCUAGCCCUGCGAGUUUGAGGGUCAAUCGAUAACGAAUCUAAAUAUUGGCUUCGCCUUUUACUUUUAUCAACGUGCACAAUCCUUAAGUGCCAGGCCGAUCGUAGUUCUUCUUGUAUAUUAUGUAUACAGGAAAAAUCGUAAAACCAAGAUGAUGACGAAAAAUGAGGUCAUCGUUACAAGCAGUCACCCUCCUACGAGUAUUAUGAUGUAACAGAACUGGACACUUUAACA
rnacentral:misc_RNA from 1 species